GUGGCUCAGUGGUAGAGCAUUUGCCUUGCAUGCACAAGGUCCUGGGUUCAACUCCUCAGC
rnacentral:tRNA from 1 species